rnacentral:RNase_P_RNA from 1 species
UAAUCGCUGCAUGCAAAUGCAGAGGAAAGUCCAUGCUCACACAAACUGAGAUGUUUGUAGUGUUCGUGCUUGAUGAAUUCAUAAGUCAAGGUAGCUUAUAGCUAACGGCAGAAGACAUUCCUAAGUCUUUUGAUAUGGAAUUAUUCUUGAAAGUGCCACAGUGACGUAGCUGUAAUGGAAACAUUACAGGUGGAACGAGGUAAACCCCACGAGUGAGCAACCCAAAUAAUGGUAGGGGCAUCCUUCAGUAGGGAAUUCAACCGAACAAGGGACAGGUUAUCAAACCUGUAGAUAGAUGAUUA